UACAGCAUGCGGCGGCUAUAAUGCAGUCGAGCGACAGACCAGGAGCUUGCUCCUCUGACGUUACGGCGGACGGGUGAGUAACACGUGGAUAACCUACCUAUAAGACUGGGAUAACUUCGGGAAACCGGAGCUAAUACCGGAUAAUAUAUUGAACCGCAUGGGUCAAUAAUGAAAGACGGUUUUGCUGUCACUUAUAGAUGGAUCCGCGCCGCUAUUAGAUAGUUGGUAAGGUAACGGCUUACACAAGGCAACGAUGCGUAGCCGACCUGAGGAGGGUGAUCGGCCACACUGGAACUGAGACACGGUCCAGACUCCUACGGGAGGCAACAUUAGGGAAUCUUCCGCAAUGGGCGAAAGCCUGACGGAGCAACGCCGCGUGAGUGAUGAAGGUCUUCGGAUCGUAAAACUCUGUUAUUAGGGAAGAACAAAUGUGUAAGUAACUAUGCACGUCUUGACGGUACCUAAUCAGAAAGCCACGGCUAACUACGUGCCAGCAGCCGCGGUAAUACGUAGGUGGCAAGCGUUAUCCGGAAUUAUUGGGCGUAAAGCGCGCGUAAGCGGCUUUUUAAGUCUGAUGUGAAAGCCCACGGCUCAACCGUGGAGGGUCAUUGGAAACUGGAAAAGUUGAGUGCAGAAGAGGAAAGUGGAAUUCCAUGUGUAGCGGUGAAAUGCGCAGAGAUAUGGAGGAACACCAGUGGCGAAGGAGACUUUCUGGUCUGAAACUGACGCUGAUGUGCGAAAGCGUGGGGAUCAAACAGGAUUAGAUACCCUGGUAGUCCACGCCGUAAACGAUGAGUGCUAAGUGUUAGGGGGUUUCCGCCCCUUAGUGCUGCAGCUAACGCAUUAAGCACUCCGUCUGGGGAGUACGACCGCAAGGUUGAAACUCACAGGAAUUGACGAGGACUCGCACAAGCGGUGGAGAAUGUGGCUUAGUUCGAAGCACGCGAAGAACCUUACCAAAUCUUGACAUCCUCUGACCCCUCUAAAGAUAGAGUUUUCCCCUUCGGGGACUCAGUGACAGGAGGGGCAUGUUAGUCCCCAACUCGAGUCCAGACAUGUUGGAUUAAGUCCCGCCACGAAGGCCGCCAUUAAGGUGAAUUGGCAUCAUUAAAAUGGGCACUCAAAGUUGAAUGACGGUGAACAACCGGAGGAAGGGGGGGAUGACCUCCAAUCAUCUUGCCCCUUAUGAUUUGGGCUACCCCCUGCCUCAAGGGAAAUUCAAACGCAAAGGUAUCCCCUAGGUCAGAUAAAUGCCAAUAAGUUGUUCUCAGUUCGAAUGGAAUCGGCAAUCCGCCAAUUUGAAGCGGGAUCCGCAAUAAAUUUUCAACAUCAGGUUAACGGGAAACCCUUACUAGGAUGUGGGCAACCGCCCGGUCCCCGGGCAAUUUUUACGCACAAAGCCCGGGGAAUCCA
rnacentral:rRNA from 1 species